rnacentral:rRNA from 1 species
ACGAACGCUGGCUGCGUGCCUAAUACAUGCAAGUAGAACGCACAGUUUAUACCGUAGCUUGCUACACCAUAGACUGUGAGUUGCGAACGGGUGAGUAACGCGUAGGUAACCUGCCUGGUAGCGGGGGAUAACUAUUGGAAACGAUAGCUAAUACCGCAUAAUAUUGAUUAUUGCAUGAUAAUUGAUUGAAAGAUGCUAUUGCAUCACUACCAGAUGGACCUGCGUUGUAUUAGCUAGUAGGUGAGGUAACGGCUCACCUAGGCGACGAUACAUAGCCGACCUGGGAGGGUGAUCGGCCACACUGGGACUGAGACACGGCCCAGACUCCUACGGGAGGCAGCAGUAGGGAAUCUUCGGCAAUGGACGAAAGUCUGACCGAGCAACGCCGCGUGAGUGAAGAAGGUUUUCGGAUCGUAAAGCUCUGUUGUAAGAGAAGAACGGGUGUGAGAGUGGAAAGUUCACACUGUGACGGUAUCUUACCAGAAAGGGACGGCUAACUACGUG